rnacentral:rRNA from 1 species
GGAGAAUUGAAUUCCUGGUGUAGCGGUGGAAUGCGCAGAUAUCAGGAGGAACACCGAUGGCGAAGGCAGUUCUCUGGGCCGUAACAGUCGCUGAGGAGCGAAAGCGUGUGGAGCGAACAGGAUUAUAUACCCUGAUAGUCCACGCUGUAAACGCUGGGCGCUAGAUGUGGGGACCUUUCCACGGUUUCCGUGUCGGAGCUAACGCAUUAAGCGCCCCGCCUGGGGAGUACGGCCGCAAGGCUAAAACUCAAAGGAAUUGACGGGGGCCCGCACAAGCGGCGGAGCAUGCGGAUUAAUUCGAUGCAACGCGAAGAACCUUACCAAAGGCUUGACAUAACCGAGAACGCCGCAGAAAUGUGGAACUCUUUGGACACUCGGUUACAGGUGGUGCAUGGUUGUCGUCAGCUCGUGUCGUGAGAUGUUGGGUUAAGUCCCGCAACGAGCGCAACCCUCGUCGCAUGUUGCCAGCACGUAAUGGUGGGAACUCAUGUGAGACUGCCGGGGUCAACUCGGAGGAAGGUGGGGAUGACGUCAAAUCAUCAUGCCCCUUAUGUCUUGGGCUUCACGCAUGCUACAAUGGCCGGUACAAAGGGCUGCGAUGUCGUAAGGCGGAGCGAAUCCCAAAAAGCCGGUCUCAGUUCGGAUUGAGGUCUGCAACUCGACCUCAUGAAGUCGGAGUCGCUAGUAAUCGCAGAUCAGCAAAGCUGCGGUGAAUACGUUCCCGGGCCUUCCC